AGGAUUCCCGCAGGUAGUAGGAAAGAGACCACAGACCUUGAGGGAAGCUCACUCAGGACCUAUUCUUCACCCAGUCUCUCCGGCAAAGUAGUGGUGAAGCAGGAUGAGCUACUUUGUGGAUUCUGCAGUGAGUGGCCCUGCCCCUUAUCCAGCAGCGCGUCCUGCAGUGGUGAGGCAGGGACCUAUCAACUCUUAUGAAGAUCCUCGAAUGGCCUGUGGUUUCCAGUCCAAUUAUUACCCGCAAAGAGCUUGCUACCCCUUCUGGGAUGAGAUGGCCACUCAGGAAGUUCCUACUGGUCUUGAACACUGUGGCUCAGGUAGGAACAUAAACAAAGGCUGAGAAUGAGGAUAGAGUUGAAGGACAAUGAAAAUUUGAUGAGGGCUGCUCAUCAAAUCACAGCAGCCAUGGUUUAUGUGGGUACGGAAUGCUAUUGUUCUCGAAUGGAAAGUCCCAGACCUUCUCAAUAAUAUUGAGGGACUUUAUUCUCCAAUGACAAGGUGACGAAACUCUAGGAAUGGGCCCAAGAGAGGUUGCUUUAGGUCUUCAUUUUGUAAAUAGUUUUGUCUACUGUACAUUUCCUGAGACUUAUCCAUUUCAGCCUGGCUGUUGACAAAGGGC